CAGGGGGGGGUGCUAUACAUGCAAGUCGUACGCUUCUUUUUCCACCGGAGCUUGCUCCACCGGAAAAAGAAGAGUGGCGAACGGGUGAGUAACACGUGGGUAACCUGCCCAUCAGAAGGGGAUAACACUUGGAAACAGGUGCUAAUACCGUAUAACAAUCGAAACCGCAUGGUUUUGAUUUGAAAGGCGCUUUCGGGUGUCGCUGAUGGAUGGACCCGCGGUGCAUUAGCUAGUUGGUGAGGUAACGGCUCACCAAGGCCACGAUGCAUAGCCGACCUGAGAGGGUGAUCGGCCACAUUGGGACUGAGACACGGCCCAAACUCCUACGGGAGGCAGCAGUAGGGAAUCUUCGGCAAUGGACGAAAGUCUGACCGAGCAACGCCGCGUGAGUGAAGAAGGUUUUCGGAUCGUAAAACUCUGUUGUUAGAGAAGAACAAGGAUGAGAGUAACUGUUCAUCCCUUGACGGUAUCUAACCAGAAAGCCACGGCUAACUACGUGCCAGCAGCCGCGGUAAUACGUAGGUGGCAAGCGUUGUCCGGAUUUAUUGGGCGUAAAGCGAGCGCAGGCGGUUUCUUAAGUCUGAUGUGAAAGCCCCCGGCUCAACCGGGGAGGGUCAUUGGAAACUGGGAGACUUGAGUGCAGAAGAGGAGAGUGGAAUUCCAUGUGUAGCGGUGAAAUGCGUAGAUAUAUGGAGGAACACCAGUGGCGAAGGCGGCUCUCUGGUCUGUAACUGACGCUGAGGCUCGAAAGCGUGGGGAGCAAACAGGAUUAGAUACCCUGGUAGUCCACGCCGUAAACGAUGAGUGCUAAGUGUUGGAGGGUUUCCGCCCUUCAGUGCUGCAGCUAACGCAUUAAGCACUCCGCCUGGGGAGUACGACCGCAAGGUUGAAACUCAAAGGAAUUGACGGGGGCCCGCACAAGCGGUGGAGCAUGUGGUUUAAUUCGAAGCAACGCGAAGAACCUUACCAGGUCUUGACAUCCUUUGACCACUCUAGAGAUAGAGCUUCCCCUUCGGGGGCAAAGUGACAGGUGGUGCAUGGUUGUCGUCAGCUCGUGUCGUGAGAUGUUGGGUUAAGUCCCGCAACGAGCGCAACCCUUAUUGUUAGUUGCCAUCAUUCAGUUGGGCACUCUAGCAAGACUGCCGGUGACAAACCGGAGGAAGGUGGGGAUGACGUCAAAUCAUCAUGCCCCUUAUGACCUGGGCUACACACGUGCUACAAUGGGAAGUACAACGAGUCGCGAAGUCGCGAGGCUAAGCUAAUCUCUUAAAGCUUCUCUCAGUUCGGAUUGUAGGCUGCAACUCGCCUACAUGAAGCCGGAAUCGCUAGUAAUCGCGGAUCAGCACGCCGCGGUGAAUACGUUCCCGGGCCUUGUACACACCGCCCGUCACACCACGAGAGUUUGUAACACCCGAAGUCGGUGAGGUAACCUUUUGGAGCCAGCCGCCUAAGGUGAUUGAAGG
rnacentral:rRNA from 1 species